CCAGCAAGUUUAAAUACAACAAUAUAAGGAUAUAUCAUGAUUGAAGAGUAUGAAUAAUAAGCUGGCUAUAAUUCAUCAAUAUAAUUGAGAAUUAGCAGGAACAAACUUUUGACUGAACAAGUGUUAAACAUGAACAAACAUUUCUGAACCAACUGGUAAUGAAGGUGAUCAGCCUUUCAUACCUAACUUAUACAUGCAAGAUGUACAGAGUACAAUUUUCAUGGCAAUCAGCAAUGAUUAAACCAUAAGCUUGAAUAAAACACUCUUAGUAGAGUUAAGUAAAAACAAACUUGUCUGAACCGUUGAUUACCGCAACGCAAUUUAUAACGCUUUAUCCGAAGACCUAAUAUUA
rnacentral:lncRNA from 1 species